GCCACGUGUGUCUUCCUCGUCCUUAUUGUGUUCUUGCUCGCCCCCCCCCCGCCUCCUCCUCCUCCUCCUCCGCUGACUCUCUUAAUGAGCACUCCCGGACUUAAGGUUUGCACAAGGCACAGCCUAGGAAUGGCUCCGUUGCUGCUCGUCGAUAGCUGCCGGAUUAUGCGCGCUGGCGCUGCCAAGCGCCCCUCGGGACUUGGCGCAGCCUCUUUGCUCCCUCCGACCGCCGGGGAGAGGCUGAAUGGCAGUAGCACUUGAGUGGUGGUGCACGUACAAGGCGCCCGGGCUAAGCCGUGUGGGGAGGAGGCACAAGCAGGAGCUGCAGCUGCUUGGAAUCUAGUUUCCUCCUUGGCCUAGUCGCGCCAGCAGCGGGAGGAGGAGGAGGAGCAUUGCCCGGCACAAGGGAGCGGGGUGCUGAGCCAUGGAUGAAGUCAGCGUUGCUGCCAGAUUUGAAGACCAGGGAAUCUUCACCGCUGAAGUUCUACCAGCCUCUGUAUAGACAACAUGCAAAAUGGGGUGGGAUGACUUGCUACAUAAAUUGCUGCACCUUCAAAAAAUAGUCUAUUUCAUUGCAUAGUUAGGGCUGCAAUCCUGGGCAAUUUACUUGGAAGUAAAUACCAUUGAACACAGUGGAACUUCCUUCUGAGUAAAGAUGCAUAAGAUCAGGAACAUAGGAAGCUGCCACAUACUGAGUCAGACCAUUGGUCUGUUUAGCUCAGUAUUGUCUUCACAGACUGUCAGCGGCUUCUCCAAGCUUGCAGAAAGGAAUCUCUCUCAGCCCUAUCUUGAUGCUGCCAGGGAGGGAACUUGAAACCUUCUGCUCUUCCCAGAGCGGCUCCAUCCCCUGAGGGGAAUAUCUUACAGUGCUCACACUUCUAGUCUCCCUUUCAUAUGCAAGCAGGGCAGACCCUGCUUAGCUAAGGGGACAAGUCAUGCUUGCUACCACAAGACCAGCUCUCCUCCUCCAGAUUGAACUGCAUGAUCACCAAGAAUGCCCUACUUGCCACACCAUCUGUGAACUAAGUCUGUACUUUGAAGGAGUCAUAGAAAGGCGUUCUUGGUGUCUGCUCCACAAAUUGCAUAACAUGACUUCCUUGGAGAUUUACUCAACAUGGCGAGGUUGAACCGCAUAGGAAACGGCUUUCAGAAAUUACAAGCUGCUGAACCAAGUCCCACCAUGUGGAAAAUAUUUUUGAUAGCUCUAAUUUUUAGCCCUCGUUACAAUAAAAAUGGUCAUCAGUUUAUUUCAUUUUUAAUGAAAAUUUUAAAAUCAAGCUAAAGGAGUCACAAUCGGAGUAGGAAAUCAAAAGUAAUGUGAUUUUUAGCAAAUGUGCAUGUGAUGACAGAAGGAAAGUAUUUCUACACAGCUGUAUAUAGGUAAGAAUUCCUUCCCUGCCCUCCCCCUUUGCAUCCGUCCCAUUCAUAUUCACUGACACUAGGCAGAUUGCAAGCAGGCAUCAUUCAGUAUGUUAGAGGCUUGGCCAUGUGUUUGCCUUCCUGAUCUCCAUAGCUUAGAAAAGUGGUCCAUAUAUGUAGAUAAUCACAAAUCCCAUAGAAACAACAAACUAUUAGAAUAAAUCUAAAAUCCAAUUUUAGAAUCCAAUCUCAGAAUUUGUUCUCCUCUUUCCCCCGCCGACCAAGAAUUGGCAUUGUAUCCUCUUUGCAGCAAGCAAAAGGUGCUUCAGAAUAUUCAGUGCUAACAAAUGGUUGAGCGAUUAUAAAUACUGUAUGUAGCCAUUGCAAUUGUAAAAUGUACAACCUAUUUGUUUUAAUAAAGUAUUUGCUGUAUGUAAAA